rnacentral:rRNA from 1 species
UAGGGAAUCUUCGGCAAUGGGGGCAACCCUGACCGAGCAACGCCGCGUGAGUGAAGAAGGUUUUCGGAUCGUAAAGCUCUGUUGUAAGAGAAGAACGUGUGUGAGAGUGGAAAGUUCACACAGUGACGGUAACUUACCAGAAAGGGACGGCUAACUACGUGCCAGCAGCCGCGGUAAUACGUAGGUCACGAGCGUUUUCCGGAUUUAUUGGGCGUAAAGCGAGCGCAGGCGGUUUAAUAAGUCUGAAGUUAAAGGCAGUGGCUUAACCAUUGUUCGCUGUGGAAACUGUUAAACUUGAGUGCAGAAGGGGAGAGUGGAAUUCCAUGUGUAGCGGUGAAAUGCGUAGAGAUAUGGAGGAACACCGGUGGCGAAAGCGGCUCUCUGGUCUGUAACUGACGCUGAGGCUCGAAAGCGUGGGGAGCAAACAGG